UAGGGAAUCUUCGGCAAUGGGGGCAACCCUGACCGAGCAACGCCGCGUGAGUGAAGAAGGUUUUCGGAUCGUAAAGCUCUGUUGUAAGAGAAGAACGUGUGUGAGAGUGGAAAGUUCACACAGUGACGGUAACUUACCAGAAAGGGACGGCUAACUACGUCGCCG
rnacentral:rRNA from 1 species